GGGUCAGUGGCUCAGAGCGCUGGAUGCUCUCCAGAGGACCUGGGUUCAAUCCCCAGCACCCA
rnacentral:tRNA from 1 species